GGCAAUAUAUUAAAGAAGGAAUGGCACCUAGGGGACUGAGAUUUCACAAGACCCCCACUUUUGAUAGAGAUUGUGAGAAAUUUAUGGGUGAGUGGGAUAACUAUCUAAAUGAUAUAUCAGUUGGUAUGUUACAUAUUAUAAUCAAAAGGAGACAAAUUAACCUAAGGGAACUGGAUUCUAAGAUUAAAGAAAUUAAAGAUUUACUACAACCUUUUCUAGAAUCUAGAGAAAUGGCAAAACAU